AACUAAUUCCUGGACACCACUGAUCUGGGCUUGGAGCUUUCUGUGGAAUAGAGCGCUUCAUUCUUUGUCUGGGUAUUUGAAGUUGAUUUUCUGUGUAAUAUCAUUAAAGUGUCCUGAUUCUUUUCACCUUUUAUAAUGAACUCAGAGUCCAGAUGGCCCUCUUUAGGAAAAUCUCCACAGACUCCUGCUGCUGCUGCCUCAAAGGGUUGCAGGCAAGCUGAAGCCUAUCCCAGCUGACUACGGGCGAAAGGUG